CUGUGAAUAACAUGAGAGGAGAGUCUCGGACAACACGUGUGUUUUGAUCGAGAAGGAGAGGUUAAUUGCAGCAGAGGCAAAUAUGGUGUCUACGAAAAAGGAGAGGCAAGGCAAGGAUUCAAAACAAAAUGAGUCACUUAAAAACUGUAAUGGCUCUUCCCCCAUUAGUAAAGCCAUGAAGCGAAAUGCUA